AUUGAACGCUGGCGGAAUGCUUUACACAUGCAAGUCGAACGGUAGAGGGGGCAACCCCUUGAGAGUGGCGAACGGGUGAGUAAUAUAUCGGAACGUGCCCAGUCGUGGGGAUAACGUAGCGAAAGUUACGCUAAUACCGCAUACGAUCUAAGGAUGAAAGCGGGGGACUCGCAAGAGCCUCGCGCGAUUGGAGCGGCCGAUAUCAGAUUAGGUAGUUGGUGGGGUAAAGGCUCACCAAGCCAACGAUCUGUAGCUGGUCUGAGAGGACGACCAGCCACACUGGAACUGAGACACGGUCCAGACUCCUACGGGAGGCAGCAGUGGGGAAUUUUGGACAAUGGACGCAAGUCUGAUCCAGCCAUUCCGCGUGCAGGAUGAAGGCCCUCGGGUCGUAAACUGCUUUUGUACGGAACGAAAGGUUUCUAUUAAUACUAGGAGCUCAUGACGGUACCGUAAGAAUAAGCACCGGCUAACUACGUGCCAGCAG
rnacentral:rRNA from 1 species